UACAGAGGUCUCAAGCGUUGUUCGGAUUCAUUGGGCGUAAAGGGUGCGUAGGCGGCGCGGUAAGUCGGGUGUGAAAUUUCGAGGCUUAACUUCGAAACUGCAUUCGAUACUGCCGUGCUAGAUGACUGGAGAGGAGACUGGAAUUUACGGUGUAGCGGUGAAAUGCGUAGAUAUCGUAAGGAAGACCAGUGGCGAAGGCGGGUCUCUGGACAGUUCCUGACGCUGAGGCACGAAGGCCAGGGGAGCAAACGGG
rnacentral:rRNA from 1 species